rnacentral:tRNA from 5 species
GAGUCCUUAGUUUAAUAGGUUAGGGCACCUAAUUGUCAAUUAGGACGGUACCAGUUCGAAUCUGGUAGGACUCG